UACGUAGGUGGCGAACGUUAUCCGGAAUUACUGGGCGUAAAGGGUCCGCAGGCGGAUGAGAAGGUCUGGCGUGAAAGCUCCUGGCUUAACUAGGAGAAGCCGCUGGAAACCGCUCGUCUAGUAUCAUGCAGAGGUCGGUGGAAUUCCCGGUGUAGUGGUGGAAUGCGUAGAGAUCGGGAGGAACCUCGAAAGCGAAGGCAACCGGCUAGGCAGUGAUAGACGCUGAGGGACGAAAGCGUGGGGAGCGAACAGG
rnacentral:misc_RNA from 1 species